UACGGGGGGGGCAAGCGUUGUUCGGAAUUAUUGGGCGUAAAGAGCUCGUAGGCGGUGUGUCGCGUCGGCCGUGAAAACCUGCAGCUUAACUGUGGGCUUGCGGUCGAUACGGGCAUCACUGGAGUUCGGCAGGGGAGACUGGAAUUCCUGGUGUAGCGGUGAAAUGCGCAGAUAUCAGGAGGAACACCGGUGGCGAAGGCGGGUCUCUGGGCCGAUACUGACGCUGAGGAGCGAAAGCGUGGGGAGCGAACAGG
rnacentral:rRNA from 1 species